AAGUCGAACGGCAGCACGGGGGCAACCCUGGUGGCGAGUGGCGCACGGGUGAGUAACGCAUCGGAACGUGUCCUCUUGUGGGGGAUAACCAGUCGAAAGAUUGGCUAAUACCGCAUGAGCUCGAGAGAGGAAAGCGGGGGACCGCAAGGCCUCGCGCGAGAGGAGCGGCCGAUGCCCGAUUAGCUAGUUGGCGGGGUAACGGCCCACCAAGGCGACGAUCGGUAGCUGGUUUGAGAGAACGACCAGCCACACUGGGACUGAGACACGGCCCAGACUCCUACGGGAGGCAGCAGUGGGGAAUUUUGGACAAUGGGCGCAAGCCUGAUCCAGCCAUGCCGCGUGUGUGAAGAAGGCCUUCGGGUUGUAAAGCACUUUCGGACGGAACGAAAUCGCCUCCGUGAACAUCGGGGGUGGAUGACGGUACCGUAAGAAGAAGCACCGGCUAACUACGUGCCAGCAGCCGCGGUAAUACGUAGGGUGCAAGCGUUAAUCGGAAUUACUGGGCGUAAAGGGUGCGCAGGCGGCCUCGCAUGUCGAGUGUGAAAGCCCCGGGCUUAACCCGGGAAUGGCGCUCGAAACUACGGGGCUGGAGUGCGGCAGAGGGA
rnacentral:rRNA from 1 species